CUAAAUAUAGAAGCAGAUACACACAGACAGGGAGACUGACUAAACCGAGCAGGGCUUUCUCUCUCUCUCUUUCUCUCACGGCGAAAUGGCUCUAUCUACAGUUCUCUAUAUGUCAGUUUUUUAAAGUAUUGUCUUUUUAAAAAAAAAUUAAUAUAUACAAAUCUCAGUCCUGAAAGUAGAUUUGUCUUCAUCUCACUGGUGUCAAAGAAGUUGGGGCUUUUAAAGUAACUUUAAUUCGUCUUCAAGAGGGGAAAAAUUGAGGUCGAGAACGCAGCAUCGUCGAGGUUUAUGCGGGACAGAUGCAAGAAUCUGUGAACUGAAUGAAGUGAGGAGCGAGAAGAAGGUCUGAUAUUGAGAAAACGGAAGUGAGUUAAGGUCAAAAGUACAGGACUUAAAGGUGAGGAGAGAAGAGAAACAGCAAAGAUGGGGAGGAAAAAGAUUCAAAUCACGCGGAUUGUGGAUGAACGAAACAGACAGCCAACUGUGAGAGAUAUCAAAUGACAAAAGCAACUGAAUUGCACCCCUUGGAGAAGGGAAAGCCAUUCACCAUGUAGGAUCAAGGACAUCAGAUCGUCUCGCUCAUGUCCAGGAAAACGGGCAAAAGUCAGGAUGGUGUGUCAUCUGCAUUGAUUGAAAACAUUUGGAAAAGAUGAUGGGAUAUUUUAUGGGGACCAUUAUGGUGUUUGCGAAUCAUUGAAUUUGUUUUAUGUAUGAUCUGGAAAAUCACAGAUCUACGUCUUCUAAUUUUUUUACUUUUGCCAUCUUCCAAAGUUGGUGGGGGAUGUGAGUGAAGGAUAAAAUUAUUUGUACAGCAGCAAGUUUUGAUGAAACCCAGUGCCACAUCACCUUCCUUCCUCCCAAGCGGGUAUUCAAAGUGCUUCUGGCUGAGCCCAUUCCUGAUACCAAGGUGUUAUUUCAACAUCACUGUAAUUACAGAAAUACAGUGGAGUCAAAGAUCUUUGUUUCCAAAAGCUGAACCAGUGAACAACCCAAAAAUUAUUGGAUGUGCCUGGCAAACAUUACAACCACAACAUUCAUUAUGGAAACUUGGGAACUCCGGGGAACUAAAAUGAUCAUUGUGGUCUUUCUGGCCUUUCCUGGAGUUCAAAACAUAUCAUGCUGCGCUCUAUUUCUCAUAUCCCCCUUCCUUUCCUGCUUAAACAAAAUGUACAUUUUCCUGCAUGGUUUGUUUCCUCCAUUCAUUGUUCGUGUACAAUACUUAAUAAAAUUGCAUAAUCUUAAAAAUUGCUUUAAUUUAUCUGUACUCCUUGUAAUGUUUAAAAUAAUGAAUAUGAGCUCUCCUUGAUUUUCUUAACUCACUUCUUGUGAUAAAUCGUUAUAUUUGCACUGGAAAUUACUGUAUCUGGUUAUGUUUCUCUGCUGUUGUAUGGAAAUAUUAGAUCAUUUGAAGUUAAUAGGUUGAUACUUCAAUUAAAACGGUAGAUGAGGAAUGUUAUGAAAGACAUUAAACAUUUGUAUAAUAAUAUCAGAAAUAGCAAUUUCUUUGCUUUUGCAUUUGGUAUAGGGAUUCCCCAUCUCCAUCUACCGGUGAACAUUUGCUCUGCAUGAAUGACGGCAACAGUGGGCACUAGUUUGUUUAUACUCUGACAGAAAAAUUCAGUUGUGUACAGCGACAAUAAAUAUUACUCUCCUUUUUUACCAG